rnacentral:rRNA from 1 species
AACGCGAAGAACCUUACCUGGGUUUGACAUACACCGGAUCGCCGCAGAGAUGCGGCUUCCCUUGUGGUCGGUGUACAGGUGGUGCAUGGCUGUCGUCAGCUCGUGUCGUGAGAUGUUGGGUUAAGUCCCGCAACGAGCGCAACCCUUGUCUUAUGUUGCCAGCACGUAAUGGUGGGGACUCUAGAGGGACUGCCGAUGACAAAUCGGAGGAAGGUGGGGAUGACGUCAAAUCGUCAUGCCCUUUAUGUCCUGGGCUACACACGUGCUACAAUGGUCGGUACAACGAGCAGCUACACAGCGAUGUGAUGCAAAUCUCUUAAAGCCGAUCCCAGUUCGGAUUGUAGGCUGCAACUCGCCUACAUGAAGUCGGAGUUGCUAGUAAUCGUGGAUCAGAAUGCCGCGGUGAAUGCGUUCCCGGGCCUUGUACACACCG